UAGGGAAUCUUCCGCAAUGGACGAAAGUCUGACGGAGCAACGCCGCGUGAGUGAAGAAGGAUUUCGGUUCGUAAAACUCUGUUGGUAGGGAAGAAAAAAUGUAUAGUAACUAUAUACAAAAGAGACGGUACCUAACCAGAAAGCCACGGCUAACUACGUGCCAGCAGCCGCGGUAAUACGUAGGUGGCAAGCGUUGUCCGGAAUUAUUGGGCGUAAAGCGCGCGCAGGUGGUUUAGAAAGUCUGAUGUGAAAGCCCACGGCUCAACCGUGGAGGGUCAUUGGAAACUAAUAAACUUGAGUGCAGGAGAGAAAAGUGGAAUUCCUAGUGUAGCGGUGAAAUGCGUAGAGAUUAGGAGGAACACCGGUGGCGAAAGCGGCUUUUUGGCCUGCAACUGACACUGAGGCGCGAAAGCGUGGGGAGCAAACAGG
rnacentral:rRNA from 1 species